AAGGCUGAAAUUCGCCUUCAUGAAGCCGGAAUUGCUAGUAAUGGCAGGUCAGCAUACUGCCGUGAAUACGUUCCCGGGCCUUGUACACACCGCCCGUCACACCAUGGGAGCUGGUAACACCCGAAGUCAGUAGUCUAACCGCAAGGAGGACGCUGCCGAAGGUGGGAUUAGCGACUGGGGUGAAGUCGUAACAAGGUACC
rnacentral:rRNA from 1 species